GAUGAACGCUGGCGGCGUGCUUAACACAUGCAAGUCGAACGGUGAAGCAGAGCUCGCGCUGUGCAUCAGUGGCGAACGGGUGUGUAAGACAUGAGCAACCUGCCCCUCUCUCUGGGAUAGGUGCUGGAAACGGCGUCUAGCACUGGCUAUGAGCUGUGACCGCAUGGUCAGUAGUUUGAAAGAUUUAUCCGUCUGGGAUGGGUAUACGGCUUGUCAGCUCGUUUGGGAGGUAAUGUCUCACCAAGGCGUCGCCGGGUAGCCGGCCUGCGAUGGUGACCGGCCACACUGGUCCUGCGAGACGGCCCAGACCGCUACGGGACGCAACGGUCGGGAACAUUGCGCAAUGGGCGCAAGCCAGAUGCGGCGACGCCGCGUGAGGGAUGCCGGCCUUCUGGUUGUAAACCUCUUUUUGCAGAGAGAAGCCGAUAGUGACGGUACCUGCACAAAAAGCGCCGGCUAACUACGUG
rnacentral:rRNA from 1 species